GCGGCGUGCUAAUACAUGCAAGUCGAGCGAAUGGAUUAAGAGCUUGCUCUUAUGAAGUUAGCGGCGGACGGGUGAGUAACACGUGGGUAACCUGCCCAUAAGACUGGGAUAACUCCGGGAAACCGGGGCUAAUACCGGAUAACAUUUUGAACCGCAUGGUUCGAAAUUGAAAGGCGGCUUCGGCUGUCACUUAUGGAUGGACCCGCGUCGCAUUAGCUAGUUGGUGAGGUAACGGCUCACCAAGGCAACGAUGCGUAGCCGACCUGAGAGGGUGAUCGGCCACACUGGGACUGAGACACGGCCCAGACUCCUACGGGAGGCAGCAGUAGGGAAUCUUCCGCAAUGGACGAAAGUCUGACGGAGCAACGCCGCGUGAGUGAUGAAGGCUUUCGGGUCGUAAAACUCUGUUGUUAGGGAAGAACAAGUGCUAGUUGAAUAAGCUGGCACCUUGACGGUACCUAACCAGAAAGCCACGGCUAACUACGUGCCAGCAGCCGCGGUAAUACGUAGGUGGCAAGCGUUAUCCGGAAUUAUUGGGCGUAAAGCGCGCGCAGGUGGUUUCUUAAGUCUGAUGUGAAAGCCCACGGCUCAACCGUGGAGGGUCAUUGGAAACUGGGAGACUUGAGUGCAGAAGAGGAAAGUGGAAUUCCAUGUGUAGCGGUGAAAUGCGUAGAGAUAUGGAGGAACACCAGUGGCGAAGGCGACUUUCUGGUCUGUAACUGACACUGAGGCGCGAAAGCGUGGGGAGCAAACAGGAUUAGAUACC
rnacentral:rRNA from 1 species